UUUGCUUGAUAGAAUGAAACAAGCGAGGGUUCCUGCUAGUGUGUUGACUUAUAAUACUGUUAUUAAUGCUUGUGCUAAGGGUGGGUUGGAUUGGGAGGGUUUGUUAGGGUUGUUUGAUGAAAUGAGACAUGAAGGGAUACAACCUGAUUUUGUAACUAAUAAUACAUUGCUCAGUGCUUCUGCUCAUAGGGGGUUGGGGGAUGAAGCUGAUUUUGGUUUAAUGGAUUUUAAUAAGGCUUGUCUAAUGUGUUUAUUGAUUGCUAUGAUCAUAAAAUUGAUAGCUUCUAAAUGUUGUUAAUUGAUUGAUAUGGUCAUUAACUCUAUUUGAAGUAAGAGUUCUGGAAUAAUGUUUUUUUCCGAAUUAGCAUUACCUGUGAUUUGGGUUCUAGUUAGUUUAUGUGCCUAUUGUGUUUAUUGAUCGCUAAUUUGCUAUGAUCAUCAAAUCAAUGGUUUUUAAAUGUUGAUAGUGAUUAUUAGAUGUUAGAUUUUUAAUCUAUUUCCUUUUUUAAUACUGAAUUUGAAGUAGAUGACAACUGUCGUUGUAAAAAUCAGAUAUUUGUUCUGCUUCUUGUUUAGAUUUUGUUUUGAAUAGAUGCUGACUGGGUUGAAAUUUUGCAGAAAUAUAUUGGCGAUCAUGAGACUCAAGAAAGGGACUGAGGUGGAAGUGUUAAGCAAAGAUGAGGUGCCUUCUGGCUCCUAGAUAUGUGCAGAGAUUAUUCGUGGUAAGGGCCACCAUUACACUGUUAAGUAUAAGGGGUUUGAAGGUGCUACUGGUGAGGAAAUCGUGGGGAGAGUUUCGAGGAAAUCUGUAAGACCGUUUCCGCCUGCAUUUGAACUCGUGGAGAACUGGACUCCAGGUUAAAUUGUAGAAGUGUAUCGAAAUUUUUCUUGGAAGAUGGCUACUGUUUUGAAGGUUUUGGGGAAAAAGUGCAUUUCUGUUAGGCUAGUUGGAUCUUCAUUGGAAUUCCAAGUUAGCAAAUUUUGAGAUGUGGAGCCACUGUUUCAGCUGUUGCACUUAGCAGGAAGGGUGGUUUGUUGUCAGAGCUUUCUAGAAGACAGAUCAAGGUGUUGGAUGAUAAAGCAGAGCUCAGCUUCAAAACUGCAAUGAAAUAUGAUCUCGUAAUUGCUGGUUCAGCUGUAUGUGCAUCAUGGAUUGAAAGUUAGUAGUGAAAAUCGAGAAAGAGCGUUAAAUCCUCAACAUACUUAUAGAAUGUCACGUUUAGGUUGAAGAUGGUUUGAUGGAAAUAUGCCGACAGGCCCGGUACCAGAUUUCACCGGAUGCACGAACUUAAAGAUCUUGAUUCAUGAUAAGUUCAUUCUCAGGAUUCAUUUUUUUCAGUUUUAAUUUAACUACAACCACUUUUUUCUUAUGCAGUCAUCUUGAGAACAAAUCUUUGGAGAACCUUCUGAAUUUGAGGGAACUGUCAGCUAUCUCGCACUCACGUAUGUUCAGAACAAUAUGUUAUCUUGAACUGUACCGUCUGAACUUUUGAGCAGAAAUUUGGUUUUAAAACCACCUUAUUUCACCCGCUACUCAAAAAAACCUGGAAUCUAAGAGUGAUGGUCAUUUAGAAGUUGCUCACUGCUUCAGUUUUUCUGACAUUAAAAACUAUACGAAUAAUUUUAAGAAAAACAUUGGUUCCGGAGAAAAAUGUGGAAGUUCAAGGUUGCCAAAGGAGGUAGUCCAUGGCUUCGGACGUUGAACAAUCAUGUCCGAAGACAUAUACGAGAGUUCGAUCCUCAUUCCGGACCUCCUCAAGAUCUUGACGAUAUUGAAACUGCUCACUGUAAUUUCACGAUAAUCGCUUCACUCACAAACACAACGAUGAUCUACUUAUGCGCCUUCGGUUUGCAAAAGAAAACCCUAUCAACCAAGUUUUACCCAAAGUCAAAGUCAAAAUAUUGAGGAUAUAACAGAAGAGGCUAUCACAACAACAUUAAGAAGAAGAUUCUGGACACUGGCCACGAGAUUCUGGAGGUCCCAUGUUUCUUAUGUCUAGAUUGGUUAUUACUCUCUCUGUCACCGAGGCUUUGAAUGCAGUCUUAACCGACGAGCAUAAAAAGUAAACGUGUUGGUACCUCUAUAAUCAUCAAAUUUUGUUUAGAAAGUAUGACAAUUUGUUUUGAGAUUUAAAUUGAAGUACUCUUAGCUAGAACACAUGCAUCUACAAAUUUAUCUAUGUAAAUG